rnacentral:tRNA from 1 species
AGCGUCAUAGUGCAGCGGUUAACACGUCUGGCUCAUAACCAGAAGAUCGCCGAGUUCGAUUCCGGCUGACGCUU